rnacentral:rRNA from 1 species
GACGAACGCUGGCGGCGUGCUUAACACAUGCAAGUCGAACGAUGAAGUUCCUUCGGGAAUGGAUUAGUGGCGAACGGGUGAGGAACACGUGAGAAACCUGCCUUUCAUUUUGGGAUAACUCCGGGAAACCGGGGCUAAAACCGAAUACUCCGUCUCGGCGGCAUCGCUGAGCCGGGAAAAAAUUUUGAUGAAAGAUGGUCUCGCGGCCUAUCAGCUAGUUGGUGAGGUAAUGGCUCACCAAGGCAACGACGGGUAGCCGGCCUGAGAGGGCGGCCGGCCACACUGGGACUGAGACACGGCCCAGACUCCUACGGGAGGCAGCAGUGGGGAAUAUUGGGCAAUGGGCGCAAGCCUGACCCAGCGACGCCGCGUGAGGGAUGAAGGCCUUCGGGUUGUAAACCUCUUUCAGUAGGGAAGAAGCGAAAGUGACGGUACCUAAAGAAGAAGCACCGGCUAACUAUGUGCCAGCAGCCGCAGUAA